GGGGGCGUCAGGUUUCGACAGAGCUGAAGCGACUCCGAGUUGCGAGCCGAGGUUGGUCGGUUGGCCUCGUAAAAAGCCGUCCAGAAAGCAGUUGCGAACAACAACUACGCUUACGCAGCCUAAUUGAGCCGCGUCGUCCGUCGUUCUCUAGCCGGUUGGGAACGGGUCGGGCGUCAAAAAAUCCGGAUCGAUGGGAAAGCUUCUGUUCGUAGCUGACUCGUCUAAAUAAAUCGAACUGGACGCCCGCCUAGGCGGCCUCGGCAGAGGGCGGCGUCGAGAUAAAGUACAGAGGAGACGCUCGUGGUGGCUCGUGGGAAGGCAGCUUUGGAAGGGAGUUCGAUUCUCCCCGCCUCCACCA
rnacentral:tmRNA from 1 species